GGGGAAAAAGGCCUCUUGCCUCUUUUGCCUUCCUCUACACAAAGGACGCUGUAGCCUAGCAGCACAUUUAGCUGGCAAACACAGAGGCAAGUGACUAGAAAUAAUCUGCUACUUCCCCAACAGACGGACCACAGCCCCUUUUUCUUUUCUCUCUCUCUCUCUCUUUUUUUUCCCUCUGUCGUGUACCCUAACAGCUAACUAGAAAACCUAGUGACCAAAAAGUUAGGGACUGCAGCAUAGCAGAGUCAGGGAAAGGAUUGAUGACCAGUGGCUUGAGAGAAAGACACAGACACACACAUGGGAUUUAAACAGCCUCAGGUCGCCACCUAACCCACUAGAGAGGAAAUUGAAGGGCAACCUAGCAGCCUUGGGCUGUAUUUGCAGUGGGUGACAGCACCCCCAACCCCACGCCCUGUUCUGCGGCAAGCUGUGAAACAGGAUAGAGAAGUGCCAGUGGGGGUGAAACAGGAGGCUGUGCAAAGACCGAGUGGAGCCAACUGUACACAGGACUGGGAGCAGCGCCGGGCUUUCCCUGCCUGAGGGCGCCACAGCAACCCAUGGGGUCACUCAGAAGGCUGAGACUGGAGGAUCACUGCAAGGUCAAGGCCAGCCUGGGCUACAUAGUGAGUUCAGGGCCAGCCUGAACUAUCCUAUCCCUCUUAAAUUCCCCCCCAAGGUCCCAAAGAUGAGGACUCCAGUAAGGUACCCAGUGGAAGCGCCUCUCAGCAGGCAUCGGCCGACUUCAGGAGGCUCCUGAUCAACAGAAGCAAGACUGUACAGCUGGACCAUCUUCAAGGAGACUGGAAUUAGACUUCCUCUUUUGAUCUGAAGACCAUGAAAAAAUUUGAGGAUAUGUUUCUAAACCAUUACAGAAAUCUUCGAGAAGAAAUGGACAGCAAGCAAAGACACUGUGGAACAAAGUACACUGGCUGGAGAGGGAAAUAAAUUCACAUGAGGUUCGAUAUAAGCACCACUCUCUGGCUCUGAUGCCUCUUUGAUGUGGAGGGCAUGAUGAGCACCUGUGAUCCUAGCACCCCAGAGGCUGAGGCAGGAGGAUCUCCAUGAGUUUGAGGCCAGCCUGAACUGCAAAGUGAGACCCUGUCUGAAGAAAAUAACCAAAAUAAAC
rnacentral:lncRNA from 1 species